AUCACAAACCAUAUUCAGUCUAAAGGUGAAUGAUUUAGAAGAGAGGCUCUGCGAAUCUACGAUAAAGACGGAGUUAACUUAGUCCCAAAAUUCCAUCUCCAUGAAUGAUUCUUAAUCAUUUCUAUGCAAAAUAUUCAAUCAUCAAUCACAAAUUUCAUUCCUAACUCUCAUGUUCUCUAAUUCUAUACCCAAUUUAAAAAAAAUUCGUUUCCCUUUUUAUUUCUUUGGUUUUCUCUGUUAAAUCGGUUUUCUUUCGUUACUCUUCUUUUUUAACCUAAUUUCCUCUUUCCCAAUUUCUUUCGCUAUUUCUUUCAGUCUGUCUUGUUCUUUCAUCAUUAUUUCUGUUUUCUUAAAUUAUCUUUAACCCUUUAUUUUAUUUCGAAAUCAUUAUGUUCAAAUCAAUUUUCAUAAUUGUUAACUUCUAUUGUCUUCUUUUUCUGUGUUUCAGGGAAAGUUUGGUAAGAGCUGAUGCUUGGUUCAGGCCUUGUCAGGUCAGUUGCUCGGAAUUGAGAGAAGAGAAGAAGCUACAGUGCAAUUGAACAACUUUUUCAUAUGGCGGUAGUGUUUCCUCAUAUACAAAUGGAGUUGCAGAGCAAGAGAAAGAGAGACAGAGAGAACAACGGGCGCAAAUAGGAGAGAACGAAUUAGGUUUUUGCUUUUUCUUUCAAUUUGAGGGAUAAGAAAGUAAUUCCAACACCUGAGUUAACUCUGACGCGUGACAUAACGCUGCAGUUAGGUGUCCAGUGAUCAGUCUGCAAAUACUUUGUAACUGUGUGAUUCACUUGUGAACCGGUAUUAGGAAGUGGGACUGUUUUUGUAAAUGUGUAUGUCAAGCAGGAGAUGUAGAAUAGGUAAGGAGUGUAGACAGUAAUAAAUAGAGUGUAUGUAUGUGCUGCUAGUAGACAGUAAUAAAUAGAGUUUUUCUUUUCUUUCGUUCUUAUUUCACGAGAAGUGAAGCUAGAGGUGGUGUUUUGUCAAAGCAGGAGAUGUCGAAUAGGUAAGGAGUGUAGGACACUCAUGGUUUUAGAUAUAGUUUAUAUAUAAAAGAAACGAGUUCUGGGAAAUGUAAGAAAAGGUCGUACUAUUAAAAAUACUAUUAACAAAUUGAUCCUACUGCUACAAACCUACUGCUACAAAAUGGUCAUACUUCCGUUUAUAGGGCCGGUGGGCCCUCCAAAGUCAGAGUUAAAUCAGGUGCUCAAUUUACCUAUUUGUCCUUAUGUUACCAUAGACUGGGUAUAGUUACAUCUCGAGGAGAGUUUCGGAUCAUCUCCUUCUUCUUCAUUAUGCGGCUUUUUCUUUCCUAUUUCUCUUCUCUAACCUUCUGCAACAGUGUUCGAUUGAGUGAGGAAGAAACAAUUUCGAGUGAGAUUGAUCAUCAACAGUGAGGUUUUUGCUCAGAUAGUUCGUGUUUAUGGUUUUGUUUCACUCUCAUGGUGUUUGAUGACUGAUACGGGUUGAAAACAGGUAACUGGUUGUUCAAAACCCUAGUUUUCUUUCAAGAGACCGUCAACAUAUUUACAAACAUAAUGAGAAACCAAUUGGCGCAAAUUGCAAUGUAAUCCUUUUUGAAGUCUAAAGCCGCAUGGCAACUUCAGUUCUCUUAAAUCCUGUGGUGUGUUUGAGUAACUUGGGGACAGGGAGUUUGUGUUCGAGAUUCCAAGACUUUGGGGGGCUGAAAAAUUAGUUGGAGAGAACAUUGCUUGUCGUUGUUCUGCUAUAUAGUUGGUUUACUGUAUGGAGAGAUUAAGCUCUAUUACCCAUAACCUGCAUAGCUUCAUCACCUGCCAAUUCACAUCUACAACAGUAUCACCAGUAUUGUUAAGUGUUUGGUGUUUGCAUAUUUUCUCCACCAUUUUGGCAGGUUAGUGGUUUAAUGCUUGCAAUCCAUAUUGUUUCAAAAGAAUCCCAAGUACAGGACAUUUGUUCAGCAAAUGUUUCAGCCAAUAUGAGAAGUUGAGAAAGAAGCAAGUCUUUCUUGAAUUAUGCAAUUCCUAUGUUUGCGGAACCGUCAGUGCUAUGGCGGGAGAAGGCAGUGCUACGGGGAGAAGGCAAAAUCAUGUUCAUCUGCUGCUGGUGCAACAUCAUCUUCACCUACAAAGUCUUCAGCUUCAGCAUCACAGGAAACACCAUCAACUACAAGUUCAUCUAUGAGGUUCAAGAUGUAGAGGUUGGAGGAAAGUGUAUAAGACAAUGUCACAGGCCAUUGCAGGUGUAUGAAAGAACAGGAAGAUGAUUGUCUUCAGGAUGAUUGCAUAAAAGUUUCCAGGCCGGGCGUCAGGGUUGCCAGGUCUGGUGGUUUAAUUGCAGUUAAAUGUUUGAGUUAAAAGAGAGGGUAUUUUGGGGAUAAGUAACACCAUUUUUUUCUCCAGCAGUUAUGUCGGACAGAACAUGACCAUUUUGUAAGCCAAUUACAAAAGUAUGACCCUUGUGUAACCGAAUCAUAAAAAGUAGGACCAUUUUGUAAUUGGCCCAUGAGUUUUCUUUUUAGAAAAGAGAAAGAAGAGAUAGUUAG